rnacentral:rRNA from 1 species
AGCAGCCGCCGCGGUAAUACGUAGGGUGCAAGCGUUAAUCGGAAUUACUGGGCGUAAAGCGUGCGCAGGCGGUUAUAUAAGACAGAUGUGAAAUCCCCGGGCUUAACCUGGGAACUGCAUUUGUGACUGUAUAGCUAGAGUACGGCAGAGGGGGAUGGAAUUCCGCGUGUAGCAGUGAAAUGCGUAGAUAUGCGGAGGAACACCGAUGGCGAAGGCAAUCCCCUGGGCCUGUACUGACGCUCAUGCACGAAAGCGUGGGGAGCAAACAGGAUUAGAUACCCCCGUAGUCCCUGUCUCUUAUAC